CCAAUAGCGUAUAUUAAAGUUGUUGCAGUUAAAAAGCUCGUAGUUGAAUUUUAGGCCUGGCCGGGCGGUCCGUCUUUGGCGAGUACUGUUCUGUGUCGGGUUUUACCUUCUGGUAAACCGGCAUGUUCUUUUAUUGUGUGUGCCGUGGGAACCAGACCAUUACCUUGAAAAAAUUAGAGUGUUUAAAGCGGGCUUUUGCUUGAAUAGAUUAGCAUGGAAUAAUAAAAUAGGACGUUGGUUCUAUUUUGUUGGUCUAGGACCACCGUAAUGAUUAAUAGGGAUAGUUGGGGGCAUUAGUAUUCAAUUGUCAGAGGUGAAAUUCUUGGAUUUAUUGAAGACUAACUAUUGCGAAAGCAUUUGCCAAGGAUGUUUUCAUUAAUCAAGAACGAAAGUUAGGGGAUCGAAGACGAUCAGAUACCGUCGUAGUCUUAACCAUAAACUAUGCCGACUAGGAAUCGGGCGUCGUUAUUUUCACGACUCGCUCGGCGCCUUAUG
rnacentral:rRNA from 1 species